UGGGGGAUAUUGCACAAUGGGCGAAAGCCUGAUGCAGCGACGCCGUGUGGGGGAUGAAGGCCUUCGGGUUGUAAACUUCUUUUGCGCUGAACAAGGCAUGCCUUUGGGGUGUGUUGAGUGUAGGGGUUGAUUAGCGCCGGCUAACUACGUGCCAGCAGCCGCGGUAAUACGUAGGGCGCGAGUGUUGUCCGGAAUUAUUGGGCGUAAAGGGCUUGUAGGUGGCUGGUUGCGUCUGUCGUGAAAGCUCAUGGCUUAAAUGUGGGUUUGCGGUGGGUACGGGCUGGCUUGAGUGCAGUAGGGGAGGCUGGAAUUCCUGGUGUAGCGGUGGAAUGCGCAGAUAUCAGGAGGAAUACCGGUGGCGAAGGCGGGUCUCUGGGCUGUUACUGACGCUGAGGAGCGAAAGCGUGGGGAGCGAACAGG
rnacentral:rRNA from 1 species